AUUGGACAAUGGCAGAUAUUUUUAUAAAAAAAAAGUGAAAGAUUACAGCCUGAACAUAAAUGGUUACGAAUUACCUAAAAGAACUUCUUAUCAUGUACUUGUAAAAAUAUUUACAUCUCUUAUUACUGUAGUUAUUAUUUCAUUAUAUAUAAAAAGUAACAAUUCAUCUAACAUGUCCUUUACAGCGACAAGUAUUAAUAAAGAUUUGUAUUUAUUAUUUAAUGCCUUGGGGUUUCCGGUAAAUAGCAAAGACUUCGUUUAUAGUAGAGUAGAAAGUUGGGGGUUCAAUUUAUCAGAAAUAGGAGAAAAAGAAAUAAAUAAAAAUUAUAAAGAAGAAAAUUUAAAAAGUUAUAAAUAUUCAAAAUAUACAUAUAAAAAAAUUUUAUUUUCUAAUUUUGGUAUAAAAGAAAAAAAUGGAAUAAAAAAAAAUAUUCUUUUAUAUAAAUUUUUAUAUAUUUUAAAGAAUCAUCCAAUAGAAACAUUUUAUGAUUUUUUAAAUACAUUUAUAAUAUUACAGGAUUUAAACUGUUUACCAGCUCAUUACAAGGGUAUAUAUACGAAUGGUAAACUUUUUGUAACGAACAAUUUAGGGGAGGUAACUUUUUCAGUUACAAAUAAUUUAAAAACAGUAGUUAAUGAAGAACCAUUCUUAUAUAUUACAUAUCAUGGAGGAAAGAAAAAAAAUUCUAUUCAUAACGUUUGUAAAUUUUCAAGAGAUGGUUAUUUUUUAGGAUCGGUUCUAUUACCAUUCGAAGAGAAAGGAAAAUUUUUUAAUUUAAUAAGUCCUAGAGGAUUAUUAAUUAAUAAAAAUUAUUUAUAUGUUAAUGAUUCAUUUAAAAAUAAUUCAAAGAUUUUCAAAUUCUCAAAUACUAUACCUGAAUUAUCAUAUAAAAGGGAAUAUAUUCAAACAUUCAUUGAACAAAAUGAUAAAAAUAAUCCUUUAAUGAAUCAUCCAUAUGAUAUAAAAAAAAAUAACAACUAUUUUUAUGUAAGUUCACAAAAUACAGGUACUGUAUUAAGGUUUGAUGAAAUAAAUGGAAAACUAGGAAAACCUAAAGAAGAACUAAAAGAAAUAUCUGAUGGAUUAGUAGUCCAAUUUAAUAAAAAUGAAGGAAUACGAGGAAUCGAUUUUGACAACUUAAAUAACUUCUAUGUUGCAAAUAAACAAAAGGGUGUACAUGUAUAUGAUCCUGAUUUUAAUUUAAUCCAUGUUAUCUCGGUUGUAUCUCCUAUAUCUGUUUUGUUUGACAAAGAAACUAACCAUAUAUUUGUUGGAAGUUCAAUAACGAACGAUAUAAAAGAGUACACUAUUGGUACUACACCUGAAAAUGCAGUUGAAAAUGUAACUGAAAAUGUAACUGAAAAUUUAGCUGAAAAUUUAGUUGAAAAUGUAACCGAAAGUAAAACUACUAACCAUAAUGCUCACAGUACUGAUAAUCCUACCAACAAAACCACUGACCCUAC
ensembl:lncRNA